GCAGUGAGCACCCAGUCCUUGGGCGCUGAGUAGCACCUAGGCGACGUGCGGAAGACACAGCCAUGCAGGCUGACAGGAAAUUAAUUGUGCACCAGCAGGUCUACCUUUCGUGAAGGAACAUGGAAGAGGAAAGAAAUGACAGUAAGACUGAAUUAUGAACUCUUAGAAGUUGAGAACAAGAACUGAUUGUAUUGUGAAAGCUGAAUUCACUACUCGCGAUUAACGCUGGCAAUAGCAGUUGGCGGUGAUCACAUGCAUGAGAUUGCUGUAGCAGAUGGAGCACAUGUAUUACUCACAUAGGUUAGAAAAGACAAAAAGAAAACAUUUAUUCCAGUUUUCACUCCAGUGUUUAAAGAGCACCACAAACACAACUUUAAAAGUCUGAAUUCCUUAGAAACUGACACCAGGGGUCUUCUCAUUGUCUUCUCCGCAACUCCCUUCAAACUUGAGACAGAGACUGUCCUGUUCCAAAACUAGGUUUCCUUCUCCUCAGAUCUGGGCACUUCUGACCAAGAUGAGUUUGUGUCCCUGCCAUUGCCUUCCUACUUUGGUGAUGACUAAAACGAAGACACCUCAUUUACUUCUUGGGCAUCUCCUUGAGUCAACUACCACCUCUCCCAGGGUCACCCUGCUGCAAUCAUGUCUCCCAGAGGUAUUACAGCUCUUAAUUACAUCAUCUUCAGAGUGCUCAGAGGUUCACUGACAGAAGUGAUUUCAGCAUACAAAACACUGCAGCAACAUAAACUAAUCUAGAUAGUAGAGGUCAGUCCUGUCUGUCUACGUUAACCUAACAGCCUGUGCUUUUCCUCCUUCCUUCACCAUUUGCCAAAACAGAUACAGUUUGUUUUUCCUUUGAUCCUAUGGAGUUGACAGUGACAGAUUACUUUCAGUUUCUCAUCCUGAGCCUUCCCACUUUCCCGGUGAUUUGACCCGUGACAUUAGGAAGAUCUGUAAUCACAGGCAGCUGCCUCUCUGAGUAUGUCCAGAUACUGCAGGAUUGGUGGGACAGGACCACACAAGUCACUGUCUUCCCAGCAGAGCAGCUGGGUCCUGCAGAUCAGAGAUGGAAAGUAUCUUUGUGAAGCUCAAGGAUUUUACAAAAGUUAAAUUGUUCACAAGACAUCUCACUUCUCUAAAAUGUCUAAUUAUUUUUUUCACAGAGUCAAGAUUUUGGGGUAUUUUGAAUGUACACGUUAGAGACUCUGAUAGUGG
rnacentral:lncRNA from 1 species